rnacentral:rRNA from 1 species
UGCGUAGGCGGACUGAUAAGUCAGUGGUGAAAUCUCUCGGCUCAACCGGGAAACUGCCAUUGAUACUGUUAGUCUUGAGUUCGGUUGAGGUAGGCGGAAUGUGUAAUGUAGCGGUGAAAUGCUUAGAUAUUACACAGAACACCAAUUGCGUAGGCAGCUUACUAGACCGACACUGACGCUGAGGCACGAAAGCGUGGGUAGCGAACAGGAUUAGAUACCCUGGUAGUCC